GAUGAACGCUGGCGGCGUGCCUAAUACAUGCAAGUCGAGCGAACGGACGAGAAGUUUGCUUCUCUGAUGUUAGCGGCGGACGGGAGUGAAACACGUGGAAAACCUACCUAUAAGACUGGGAUAAUUUCGGGAAACCGGAGAUAAUACCGGAUAAUAUUUUGCACCGCAUGGUUCAAAAGUGAAAGACGGUCUUGCUGUCACUUAUAGAUGGAUCCGAGCUGCAUUAGCUAGUUGGUAAGGUAACGGCUUACCAAGGCAACGAUGCAUAGCCGACCUGAGAGGGGGAUCGGCCACACUGGAACUGAGACACGGUCCAGACGCCUACGGGAGGCAGCAGUAGGGAAUCUUCCGCAAUGGGCGAAAGCCUGACGGAGCAACGCCGCGUGAGUGAUGAAGGUCUUCGGAGCGUAAAACUCUGUUAUUAGGGAAGAACAUAUGUGUAAGUAACUGUGCACAGCGUGACGGUACCUAAUCAGAAAGCCACGGCUAACUACGUG
rnacentral:rRNA from 1 species